rnacentral:lncRNA from 1 species
UUGAACCUUCUCUCUUUCUCUCUUUUUUUUUUUUUUUUUUUUUUUUUUUUUUGGGUAAUCUAGCUAGUGGGCUUCUAAUCUGGUCAGGUGGUGAUAAAUUCCCUUAGCAUUUGCUUGACUGAGAAAGACCUUAUUUCUUCUUUAUUUAGGAAGCUUAGUUUGGCCAGAUAUAAAAUUCUUGGCUGAUAUUUUUUUUUCUUUAAGAAGGAUAAAAAUAGGCUCCCAAUUUUGUCUGGCUUUUAAGGUUUCUGUUGCAAAGUUUACUACUAAUCUGAUAGGAUUUCCUUUAUAAAUAAUUUGUUCUUUUUCUGUAGAUGCCCUUAAGAUUUUUUUUUAUCAUUGACUUUGGAUAGUCUGAUGACCAUAUGCCUUUGUGAUGCUUAUCUCAUUUAGUAUCUCACAAGUGUUCUCUGAAUUUCUUGAAUCUGGAUAUCCACCUCUCUAGCAAGAUUAGGGAAUUUUUUCUGGAUUAUUCUCCUAAAUAUAUUUUUCACAUUGCUUAUUUUUUCUUAUUCUCUUUCAAUAAUGCCUAUAAGUCAUAGGUACAGUCACUUUACAUAAUCCCAUAUUUCUUGAAGUCUAUAUUCAUUUUUUAAAAUUCUUUUUUAUUUAUUUUGGUCUGACUGGCUUUAUUCAAAAGACCACUCUUCAAUCUCUAAAAUUCUUUCUUCUGCUUGGUCUAGUCUAUUGUUAAAGCUUCCAACUAUAUUUUGAAAUUCACUUAGUUAAUUUGUCAAUUCCAGAAGUUCUAUUAUUUUAAUAUAGCUAUUCCAUCUUUCAUAUCCUAAAUUGUUUUUCUGUUUUUGUAUGUGCUGGUUUUCAACUUUCUCUUUUAUCUUAUUGAGUUUCCUGGCAGUCCAUAUUUUGAUUUAUUUAUCUGUCAUUUCAGACUUUUUAUUUUGAUUAAGAGUCAUUACUAGAGAGCUAGUAUAAUCCUUUGGAGGUAUCACUAUACUCUGUUUUUUGCACUGCUGGAAUUCUUGCACUAAUUCCAUCUCAUCUGAAGGAGCUGUUCCUUCUUAUUUUUGAAUCUGCUAUUGUUUGAAUGGGACUUUUAUAUUUUUAAAUUCUUUUUUUCCCAUGAGGGUAUGACUGUAGUUUAUGUUUUGUAUGAUUGUUUAACUUUAUUUCUAGGUUGUUUUAGAAGGCCAAGUAUUUGUAUGGGUUCCUUGGUUGGGGUUUUUGUUUGUUUGUUUGGUGGUUUUCGUUGAUACUACUUGUUUCGCAGUAGAUUGGAUGCAUGAACCAACAAUUCUCUCCUGCAGGGCUGAGAAUGUGCAGGUAUCAGGAUGCUUAUCUACUGCACUAGCACUAUGCACUUCUGGAAGCAAGUUUUUUAUUUGGUUGUGCAGUUCAAGCUUCAGUUCAGUAGGUGGCAGUUAAUUGUAAGAGCUUGAUUGCCCUCAGGUAGGUGAUGAUGAGUAGAAGCACCUGCUCUCAUGUGGCCAGUGGUGGUGGGAGAUUGUGUUGGAGUGUGCUAAGGUAUUCUGGGCUGGACUUGGGGAAUGCAACACCUCCUCAUUGUGGGAAGACAAUAAUUCAAUCCACUUCCCUAUCACACCCCUGUCACAGGGCUCAGGACUUUCAGUUUAUACAGACUUCGUCCUGUGUGGCUGUGGACUACAAAUAUGCCCCUCUAGCAGCUUUCACCUAACUGGGCUCAGGGCAGAGCCUUUUCUCAUAGUCCAGAACUGACUACUCUGGCUUGUCUGCCUCUGUUGCUGGGAUGCUGUUACUCUGUGUAGGAAGCAGGAAUUGAGCACUAUCCUUCAUGCAAGAACUAGCUGCACAAACUCACUUUCAACUGGGAUAGAACUGCCACAGGAAGGGCUGGAAUGGCUUUCUCCAAGUGCAUACAUCCACCCCCAGUGAGAAGAGUCUCUGCUGUGUUUGCAACAGUGAACAAGGAAAGCAUGGAGAUGACCCCGUCUCCUUGCCCUUCUGUGUCAACAAUUCAUAAAACAUUAUGAUAAUCAUAUGAGGAGGAGGAAACUAAAAACUAAACAAAUGAACCUUUGUUAUCAUCUGCUUCAAAGAUACUACCAAAAAAUUACUAAGAAAGAUGAAUGAAUUCAGACAUUCCUACAUUGAUUGUCAAGGUGUUGAAAUUUCCACCAUGUAGUUUUUUCUCCACACUCACAGAGAGGCUCACGGUAAACCUCCUAAAGCAUCUUAUUAAAAGAGAAACGCUACAGCCAUAGUCACAGAUGAGCUCUGGUGACUAAAAUCCCACCUACCACUACUUGACUGUUGCGGUCCCUGAAGCCUACAAAAUCGCAGAAUGAUUGCUGGUUCUCAAACCUCUAGGUUACUUUAUGAUUGGGAAUUUUACAUAUAUCCAUUGCCUGAAAUGCCCUUAGCAUCUAUUACCCUUUGAGACUUAGCUUCAAUAUCAAGUAAUGAAGCCUUUCUUAAGUACCUAGAGAAAAUCAGUUUUCCGGUCUUUCAUGCUACCUUUGUACACACAGCUUUCUGUUGUUACCUUUUCAAAUCAAUCAUUUCACCAUUAUUUCUCUAUGCAUUCAUUCAUUAUUUCAACAAAUAUUUAUCGGGUGUUUAAUAUGUUUAUAGCCAUGUGCUAAGCACUGAGGUUAUACUUUGUCGUGACUCCAUGGUUAAACUCCACAGGGACAAGAUCCACACAAAUAUUCUGUGUGAAGGACACAUAAAUAGUUUGGGGGUACAUCAUGCCUAUGACUGAUAUGAAGAAGGUGUAAACAAAUGUAUAUUGAAUUAAAGAAUACCUUAAAUAUUUGUUUGUAAGAGAUAUAGUUUUAGGAUUUGUUACAAUAGUUAGAAAAGGGUUUCAUGAAUAUGGAAUGAAAGCUUAGACUGCAACUGUUUUACAAAGCGCUUUUAAAAGUAACUACUAAAAUAAUCUAGUAACACUUUUAGAGUCAUUUAGAAAAGAAUAAAAUAAUCUUAGCCUAGCUAACAGGAUGUUCCAAUAAAACUAUUGUGAAGUGGUAGGACUCUUGAUUAUGGUGAGAAUGGGUCAGAAUGGAUGAAUCAACACAUUUGUGUAAAGAAUAAUAUCUAGAAAUGAUGACAAUGUAUAUUUGAAAGAAAAGAGUAUUAAAAAUGUCUUUAAAUUUUCCAAUUUGUUGUACUCAUAGGAAAAUAGGAGGUGAAAAUGAAAUACUUAGAGAUGGUGUCUUAAUUUAUUUCAAGAAUUUGAGGUAAAAAGGAACUGCUCUGCCCUGUUAAUAUGUGAGAUGAGCAAUUUAGGAGGGAGGUCAGACUGGAAAAGUGAAUUUACUGAACACCAUGAUAGUCAUGUUGUUUAAUGACUUAAGAAUAGACAGUAAAAGAGGUUCUCCUAUCAUAGCCCUACAUCCUCUGGAAAUACAUGCUACAUUAAAAUUUAUAUUUCUAUUUCCAUAUGCUUGGUAUGACUAAUGGCAGAAACUGUGAAGAAUCCUAGGAGAAAAAUGGUCUGCAUUUGCUUCAGACUUAUUGCAAAGUGUAUGUAUGAAGGAAAACAUUACUUCUAAUUCUACCAGACCAUCACCUGCAUGAGUCCCUGUGAUGCUUCCCAAAUCCAUCCAAAUGCUUAACUGAAGCUUGAAUUUAUUAUUUUCAAGUUCGAUGUAAAAGUUCUUCUUUUUAAACUUGACACUGUAUACUGUGGCUUAAAUAUUUAAGCAAGGCUCUUUCGAAGAUUGAGGAAGAAACACUCACACAUCAAAAGUAUCUAAUGUUUAAUUCAGCGAGGUAAGCUUUCUCAAACUCUGAAGCUUAUGUGAAGCUGUUUGGAAUUUUUUCAAAGGUCUUUUAUCUCUAAAUCAAAACAGAAUUUUUUUUAAAAAAAUUAUAAUAAUUCUUCAAAACAGAAAUAACUUCUGUCAGAGUUCUUUGGUUUCUACCUAAAAGAAACAGUUACGUGGCAAUUGUUUAUUUAUUUCUACAUGAACCCAACAUGUUCAAAUUCUAAAAGAUUUAGACAAGCUUGCUUCAGUCAUACAUAAAGAUUUUGAAAACUUAUUAUUCAAGCCAACUAAGAUUCUUGCUAGAAAACUCAAACAAAGAACAAUAAUUGGUUUGAAAACUGCAGAAUAUACUUUGUAGAUUAUGACUCUUCAUUGAUAAACAGAUAAGUAAACACCCACAAAUCAAUAUGUAAACAAUAGAACUGGCUAUUAAGUUUUUGCUAAAAGAUCUUCCUUGAGAGAGUUUAUAGAAUUUGCUAAUUUUUUCUUUUUUGUCUUAUUUAAUGUUAGUUAUCAAAGCCAAGUCUUCCCAGACCCUUACUAAUUAAUCUCAACAAUUUGUUUUUGAAAUUUUGAAAACAUAGAAAUAUUAGGAGAAUCUCCACUGGAGUGAUUCAAGAGAGUUCUAAAACAUGGAGACUGACAAAAACAUUCAGAUAGAAAUCUGCAGUUAAUAGUAAUAAAAUGACGGCAGUCACUGUGAUGAUAUGAUAAUUGUGAUGAUUAGGCUGCUGGUUUGGAAUCCUGGAUAAAUCUCUUAAACUAGCUUUAUGGCUUUUAGCAAGUUAUGUAACCUUUGAAAUAUUCACCUGGUUUUUAAAACCACAUUCUGUGGAUGUAAGAUCUAAAUAAGAUAACCCAUAUAAAUAAUGUAGUAUGUCUCGCACAUACUAAGCGCAUGCUAAGACUUUCCCCAUGCUUUCUUUUUUUUGGCUUCUUUUAUUAUUAUUAUUAUUAUUAUACUUUAAAUUCUAGGGUACACUUGCACAACAUCCAUGUUUUAAGUCUCCACCCACUUGUCCUUGAAAAUUCUAAUCUCUUUUGUUUACCAAGGCCAGUGAUAAUGAAGUCUUAUGAUAAAACCUGUUCCUAUAACAUUCCUUCUAGUCAUUACACAUUUUAAUCUCUCGUUUAUUAAGUUAGGUGCCUGUAAUAAUAACAUUUUCUAGAAUAUUUUUUACUGCUUUUAGCAUGGCUAACUUUUUUCACCUUUCCUUCAGUAAAUGCUGCCUCAUUUUAAGGUUUAUUCUGAACACCCA